UACGGAGGGUGCAAGCGUUAUCCGGAUUUACUGGGGUUAAAGGGUGCGUAGGUGGAUUUGUAAGUCAGUGGUGAAAUCUCCGGGCUUAACCCGGAAACUGCCAUUGAUACUAUAAGUCUUGAAUUAUCUGGAGGUAAGCGGAAUAUGUCAUGUAGCGGUGAAAUGCUUAGAUAUGACGUAGAACACCAAUUGCGAAGGCAGCUUACUACGGAUAUAUUGACACUGAGGCACGAAAGCGUGGGGAUCAAACAGG
rnacentral:rRNA from 1 species